rnacentral:rRNA from 1 species
UACGUAGGAGGCAAGCGUUGUCCGGAAUUACUGGGUGUAAAGCGCGUGUAGGCGGCAGGCCAAGUCUGUGGUGAAAUCGCUCGGCUCAACUGGGCGGGGUCCAUGGAAACUGGUCAGCUGGAGGACGGUAGAGGUGGAGUGGAAUUCCCGGUGUAGUGGUGAAAUGCGUAGAGAUCGGGAGGAACACCCGUGGCGAAGGCGGCUCACUGGGCCGGUCCUGACGCUGAGACGCGAAGGCGUGGGGAGCGAACGGG